rnacentral:rRNA from 1 species
UGGGGAAUCUUGGACAAUGGGGGCAACCCUGAUCCAGCCAUGCCGCGUGAGUGAUGAAGGCCUUAGGGUCGUAAAGCUCUUUCGCCUGUGAAGAUAAUGACGGUAGCAGGUAAAGAAACCCCGGCUAACUCCGUGCCAGCAGCCGCGGUAAUACGGAGGGGGUUAGCGUUGUUCGGAAUUACUGGGCGUAAAGCGCACGUAGGCGGACCAGAAAGUUGGGGGUGAAAUCCCGGGGGCUCAACCCCGGAACUGCCUCCAAAACUAUUGGUCUAGAGUUCGAGAGAGGUGAGUGGAAUUCCAAGUGUAGAGGUGAAAUUCGUAGAUAAUUUGGAGGAACACCAGUGGCGAAGGCGGCUCACUGGCUCGAUAACUGACGCUGAGGUGCGAAAAGUGUGGGGAGCAAAACAGGAUUAGAUACCCUGGUAGUCCACACCGUAAAACGAUGAAUGCCAGUCGUCGGGUAGCAUGCUAUUCGGUGACAC